rnacentral:tRNA from 1 species
UUUGUAAUUCCAUUUAUGGAGUGGUGAGCUCCUCUUAUCA